UACAGAGGUGCUCGAGCGUUUGGUUUCGGAUUCAUUGGGGCGUAAAAGGGUGCGUAGGCGGGCGGUCGGUAAGUCGGGGUGUGAAAUCCGUCGGGGCUUAACUCCGAAACUGCAUUCGAUGCUGACCGUGCUUGAGGACUGGGAGAGGAGACUGGAAUUUACGGUGUAGCGGUGAAAUGCGUAGAUAUCGUAAGGAAGACCAGUCGGCGAAGGCGGGUCUCUGGACAGUUCCUGACGCUGGAGGCACGAAGGCCGGGGGAGCAAACGGG
rnacentral:rRNA from 1 species